AUUCCAGCUCCAAAAGCAUAUAUUAACAUUAUUGCGGUUAAAAGGCUCGUAGUCUAAUUUAUGGCUUUCCGAUGACCGCCCAGAGUCUAGUACUCUGUGUGCAAGUCAUCGGUAGUCAUCCUUUUGGAUUGCACUUCUGCCCUUGAUUGGGUCGGUUGUGGGAUACAAAUCUUUUACUGUGAGUAAAACAUAGUGUUCAAAGCAGGCUCAAUGCCCUGAAUGCUCUAGCAUGGAAUAAAACUAUAAGACUUCGGUUUUUUAUUGGCUGAAACCUAAAGUAAUGAUUGAUAGAGAUAGUUGGGGGUGCUAGUAUUUAGCGGUCAGCGGUGAAAUGCAUAGACCCGCUAAAGACUAUCUUAUGCGAAAGCGUUCACCAAGGAUAUCUUCAUUG
rnacentral:rRNA from 1 species